rnacentral:rRNA from 1 species
AGGGUUUGAUCAUGGCUCAGGAUGAACGCUAGCGGCAAGCUUAACACAUGCAAGUCGAACGGUAACUUUUGGUGCUUGCACCGAAAGACGAGUGGCGGACGGGUGCGUAACGCGUAUGCAAUCUACCUUUUACUAGGGUAUAGCCCAGAGAAAUUUGGAUUAAUCCCCUAUAAUAUCAAAAUUCCGCAUGGUUUUUUGAUUAAAGCUUCGGUGGUAAAAGAUGAGCAUGCGUCCUAUUAGUUUGUAGGUGAGGUAACGGCUCACCUAGACUACGAUAGGUAGGGGCCCUGAGAGGGGGAUCCCCCACACUGGUACUGAGACACGGACCAGACUCCUACGGGAGGCAGCAGUGAGGAAUAUUGGACAAUGGACGAAAGUCUGAUCCAGCUAUGCCGCGUGCAGGAUGACAGCCCUACGGGUUGUAAACUGCUUUUAUACAGGAAGAAAAACUCCGACGUGUCGGAGCUUGACGGUACUGUAAGAAUAAGGAUCGGCUAACUCCGUGCCAGCAGCCGCGGUAAUACGGAGGAUCCAAGCGUUAUCCGGAAUUAUUGGGUUUAAAGGGUCCGCAGGCUGUUUUUUAAGUCAGAGUGAAAUCUGCAGCUCAACUGUAGAAUUGCCUUUGAAACUGAAAGACUUGAGUUAUUGUGAAGUGGUUAGAAUGUGUGGUGUAGCGGUGAAAUGCAUAGAUAUCACACAGAAUACCAAUUGCGAAGGCAGAUCACUAACAAUUAACUGACGCUCAGGGACGAAAGCGUGGGUAGCGAACAGGAUUAGAUACCCUGGUAGUCCACGCCGUAAACGAUGGAUACUAGCUGUAUGUCUACCUCAGGUAGAUGUGUGGCCAAGCGAAAGUGAUAAGUAUCCCACCUGGGGAGUACGAUCGCAAGAUUGAAACUCAAAGGAAUUGACGGGGGCCCGCACAAGCGGUGGAGCAUGUGGUUUAAUUCGAUGAUACGCGAGGAACCUUACCAGGGCUUAAAUGUAACGGGACAGGUCUAGAGAUAGACCCUUCUUCGGACUCAUUACAAGGUGCUGCAUGGUUGUCGUCAGCUCGUGCCGUGAGGUGUCAGGUUAAGUCCUAUAACGAGCGCAACCCCCAUCGUUAGUUGCCAACGAGUAAUGUCGGGAACUCUAACGAAACUGCCGGUGCAAACCGUGAGGAAGGUGGGGAUGACGUCAAAUCAUCACGGCCCUUACGUCCUGGGCUACACACGUGCUACAAUGGUCGGUACAGAGAGCAGCCACUUCGCGAGAAGGAGCAAAUCUACAAAACCGAUCUCAGUUCGGAUCGGAGUCUGCAACUCGACUCCGUGAAGCUGGAAUCGCUAGUAAUCGGAUAUCAGCCAUGAUCCGGUGAAUACGUUCCCGGGCCUUGUACACACCGCCCGUCAAGCCAUGGAAGUUGGGAGUGCCUGAAGUCGGUAACCGCAAGGAGCCGCCUAGGGUAAAACUAAUGACUGGGGCUAAGUCAUAACAAGGUAGCCGUA